GGGUUGUGAGGUUAAGCGACUAAGCGUACACGGUGGAUGCCCUGGCAGUCAGAGGCGAUGAAGGGCGUGCUAAUCUGCGAUAAGCGCCGGUAAGGUGAUAUGAACCGUUAUAACCGGCGAUACCCGAAUGGGGAAACCCAGUGUGAUUCGUCACACUAUCAUUAACUGAAUCCAUAGGUUAAUGAGGCGAACCGGGGGAACUGAAACAUCUAAGUACCCCGAGGAAAAGAAAUCAACCGAGAUUCCCCCAGUAGCGGCGAGCGAACGGGGAGGAGCCCAGAGCCUGAAUCAGCAUGUGUGUUAGUGGAAGCGUCUGGAAAGGCGCGCGAUACAGGGUGACAGCCCCGUACACAAAAGCGCAUGUGCUGUGAGCUCGAUGAGUAGGGCGGGACACGUGGUAUCCUGUCUGAAUAUGGGGGGACCAUCCUCCAAGGCUAAAUACUCCUGACUGACCGAUAGUGAACCAGUACCGUGAGGGAAAGGCGAAAAGAACCCCGGCGAGGGGAGUGAAAAAGAACCUGAAACCGUGUACGUACAAGCAGUGGGAGCACAGGUUUACCUGUGUGACUGCGUACCUUUUGUAUAAUGGGUCAGCGACUUAUAUUCUGUAGCAAGGUUAACCGUAUAGGGGAGCCGUAGGGAAACCGAGUCUUAACCGGGCGUUAAGUUGCAGGGUAUAGACCCGAAACCCGGUGAUCUAGCCAUGGGCAGGUUGAAGGUUGGGUAACACUAACUGGAGGACCGAACCGACUAAUGUUGAAAAAUUAGCGGAUGACCUGUGGCU
rnacentral:rRNA from 1 species